CUGAAACUUUCAGAAGCCUUUUACUUCUAACUGUGUAGCCCUAAAAUUUGUGGAUAAAAAAGCACUCUAUAAAUGAGGGAAGAUGAACUUUAAACUGAAGGAGCGCAAUUGCAACCUGGAUUCAGCAUUUCUAAGAAAUUAUAAGAAGCAGUAAUUUACCCAAGAACCAUUUCUGACAUGUCUUUUGUGCCUAUUCAAUAUACUAUCCUAUGCUAACUUUGAGGAAUGGAUAUGGUCAAUCAUACUCUUGUCUCUUCAAUAAAUUGAUGCAAUGUUACUGCAGAAAU